ensembl:lncRNA
CUUGGGAGACGAGAAUCUUCACCAUCUGAAUCAUGAAAUUCUCAUCGGUGUGGAUCUCGUGUGGUGGAAUGGAACCAAUAAAGCUGGACCCUUGCUUCUUCUCACUCACGGCUGGUGUUUUGUUCUAUCUCCAACUGGGCUCAGAGAUCCUUGUCCCCCAGCUGCACCGAGAAGACACUGAAUUUCUCCUGUUGAAGUAAGAGACUUGGCUUCAUUGAAGAUCUUGUGCUUGAAUGCGGUCUUCCACCUCUCAAACAACUUGUUGGAUGUUUUAGCAUUGAACAGCAGAGCAAAGUCCUGAUUUACCUAAUGAUUAAUAAUCGUAUAUUUCAAGAUAUAAGAGAGAAAUAGUUGGUAUAUAUUGUAACCUUAGUUUUGACAGGUAUAGGUCAAAGGUCAAAAAGAUACACAUUCUAACUCUCUAUAUCUAGAUCAAAGGUCAUGAUCAUAAAAAUAUUUAUAGUUAUGUUAAAUCUGGAUCACAUCCAUUCGUUACCAUACAUGGUGCGGCCAUGUGUUUUCCACCCCACACACGUUGCACACAUGUUCUUUCUAACACUCUGUGGUAGGUCAUAAAAAUAUAUAUAGUUAUGUUAAAUCGGGUUCCCAUCUAUUCCUGACACAAACGUUACUAGUUAUGUUAAAUCGGGUUCCCGUCCAUUCCUGACACAAAUGUUACUAUACAUGGUACGGCCAUGUGUAUUACACAUCCAAACAAAAAUAUGACACACACAAACGCACUUUAUUUUCACAUUAUUUAAAAGGAAUUUAAGAGUUUUGUACUAAAUUACCAUAAUUAUGAACACAAGUUGUUAAGUUGACAAUCAUUUUUAAAAUUACGUUUUUCCAUUUAGAUUGUCUGCAGUAGAAUGCAGUCUUUUAAACCAGGAAAAAUGACUGCCU